rnacentral:rRNA from 1 species
UACGGAGGGUGCAAGCGUUAUCCGGAUUCACUGGGUUUAAAGGGUGCGUAGGUGGGCAGGUAAGUCAGUGGUGAAAUCCUGUUGCUUAACAACAGAACUGCCAUUGAUACUGUUUGGCUUGAGUAUAGUUGCUGUGGGCGGAAUAUGACAUGUAGUGGUGAAAUACAUAGAGAUGUCAUAGAACACCGAUUGCGAAGGCAGCUCACAAAACUAUAACUGACGCUGAGGCACGAAAGUGCGGGGAUCAAACAGG